AUUGAACGCUGGCGGCAGGCCUAACACAUGCAAGUCGGGCGAGCGGCGGACGGGUGAGUAAUGUAUGGGGACUGCCUGAUGGAGGGGGAUAACUACUGGAAACGGUAGCUAAUACCGCAUACCAUCAGAUAACCCAUAUGGGAUUAGCUGGUAGGUAAGGUAACGGCUUACCUAGGCGACGAUCCCUAGCUGGUCUGAGAGGUGGAUCAGCAACAGUGUGACGGGGACACGGCCCAAACUCCGACGGAGGCAGCGGUGGGAAAUAUUGGACAGGGAGCGCCAGCCUAAUGCGGCCAUGCCGGGUAUAUGAAGAGGGCCUUCGGGUUGUAAAGUAUGUUAAUUCGGGAGGCGUUACCGACAGAAUAAGCACCGGCUAACUCCGUGCCAGCAGCCGCGGUAAUUC
rnacentral:rRNA from 1 species